AUUGAACGCUGGCGGCAGGCCUAACACAUGCAAGUCGAACGGUAACAGGAAGAAGCUUGCUUCUUUGCUGACGAGUGGCGGACGGGUGAGUAAUGUCUGGGAAACUGCCUGAUGGAGGGGGAUAACUACUGGAAACGGUAGCUAAUACCGCAUAACGUCGCAAGCCCAAAGAGGGGGACCUUCGGGCCUCUUGCCAUCGGAUGUGCCCAGAUGGGAUUAGCUAGUAGGUGGGGUAACGGCUCACCUAGGCGACGAUCCCUAGCUGGUCUGAGAGGAUGACCAGCCACACUGGAACUGAGACACGGUCCAGACUCCUACGGGAGGCAGCAGUGGGGAAUAUUGCACAAUGGGCGCAAGCCUGAUGCAGCCAUGCCGCGUGUAUGAAGAAGGCCUUCGGGUUGUAAAGUACUUUCAGCGGGGAGGAAGGGAGUAGAGUUAAUACCUUUGCUCAUUGACGUUACCCGCAGAAGAAGCACCGGCUAACUCCGUG
rnacentral:rRNA from 1 species